GUGCCAGCAGCCACGGUAAUACAGGGGGUGCAAGCGUUGCUCGGAAUCACUGGGCGUAAAGCGUACGCAGGCGGACCGUUAAGUCGGGUGUGAAAGCCCGGGGCUCAACCCCGGAACUGCAUUCGAUACUGGCGGUCUUGAAUACGGGAGAGGUGAGUGGAAUUCCUGGUGUAGAGGUGAAAUUCGUAGAUAUCAGGAGGAACACCGGUGGCGAAAGCGGCUCACUGGCCCGAUAUUGACGCUCAUGUACGAAAGCGUGGGGAGCAAACAGGAUUAGAUACCCUGGUAGUCC
rnacentral:rRNA from 1 species